AUCACAAUGAAAAUAAAAUAUAACUGUAAUGAACUAACAAAAAUAAAAAUAAAAACCAUUAUUAUAGUUAUAGCUUUUUUUUUAAGUUAUUUGUUCGCAAUUGGUUAUUUUUGUUUUUUUAGACACUAUGGAGAAUACAAUAAACAAUUUAGUUAACGCUUUGAAACCUUCAUCAAGUUCCUCAAGAAAGUUUUUCAUGGUAAAAUGGUAGUUCAGUGGUCUAUGCAGGCAGCACGUAGAAAACGAAUAAAAACUCGACUACAACAUUCUGAAAUUAGAGCUGAGAUUUCUAAAAGACAGACUAGAAAACGCCAAAAAAUCGAUGAAAAAGAAAAAAAAAAGUUAGAUCAACAAUUAACAUUAUUAACUAUUAGUGAAAUUCUGAAUUUAUUUAAAAACUUAUCUACUAAGCAAAUUGAUGAUUUAAAUGAUGUUAUGUGUGAAAGAAUUGAUGGGAGAAAUUUUUGCCAUGAAUGGUAUGAUUCCGAUACAGCAAUGACAGUCUUGUAUAAUGGCAGAGUAUAAAAACUUAAAAAAGCACAGAAAGGCAUUAUAUACACUAUUUCUUAUUGGACUAGAGAGGAAAAUGAUACUGAAACAGUUGAUUAUUAUAUGAAAAAAUUCCAGCUAGUUGCUGACAUUGUAUCCGGUGAGUUGAUGUUUUCCUAAUGUAAAUAUGUUGCAUUUAUUUUUUUAUUAUUGGAAAUGCAUUUGAUAAUCUUGCUACUUUAUUUUACUAUGGUUGACUCUCUAUUUCUAAAUCUCUCUCUCUCUCUCUCUCUCUCUCU